UACGUAGGGGGCAAGCGUUGUCCGGAAUCAUUGGGCGUAAAGCGCGCGUAGGCGGCCCGGUAAGUCCGUUGUGAAAGUCAAAGGCUCAACCUUUGAAUGCCGACGGAUACUGCCGGGCUAGAGUACGGAAGAGGCGAGUGGAAUUCCUGGUGUAGCGGUGGAAUGCGCAGAUAUCAGGAGGAACACCAAUAGCGAAGGCAGCUCGCUGGGACGUUACUGACACUGAGGCGCGAAAGCGUGGGGAGCGAACAGG
rnacentral:rRNA from 1 species